rnacentral:lncRNA from 1 species
UGGGGUUUGUGCUUGGCAAAUAUUUUCAUUUAUAGAACGGGAAGAAAGGAAGGAAGGAAGCAGGUAUUUUUUGUUUUAUAGGUUAUGAAUAUUAUUAUUUAUUUUACAAUGGUUCCAUUGUGUUGAUUUUAUUGAGAUUUUUAUUUUAUAGAAAGGGUGUUUUAAAGAAAGGAAGCAUGUAUGUUUCUUUUUUUUUUUAAUAUUUGCUUUUUAGAUGCAAAUAACAUAUGGUCCCAUUGAGUUUUUUUUUUUUUUGAUAGUUUGUUUUGUAGAAAGGGUAUGGGAAAGAAAGGGAGAAUGUAUGUUUCUAUUUUUUUUAACAUUUUUUUUUGUUUUUUA